UACAUACACAUUGCAUAGAUAUAAUUUAAAUUUAUGCAUACAAAAUAUUACAAAUUACAAACAAUAAUGCCAUUGAUUUUAUAUAAAUAUGUUAAAAUAACAAUGACAACAUCUUUAACCCAUGUUAAGCCAUCAACAAAAAGAAAGUUAAAAAAAGAAACGUUCGUUGUUGUUGUCUUCACAAUAACCAAACAUUCAUUAGAUACACACAGGAGAAAAAACCAUCUGAACCAGAGACUUAUUUAUUCCAACAAGAGCCAACAACAAACCGCUAAAUCGAAUCGAAGAUGAGGUCAUAACUAAUAAUAAAACUGACUUGAUGGUAGUGGGCUAAGAGAAAAACAGCUGUUUCGAUAUAUUGAGUAUAAUAUUUUGUUGGUCCGUGUAGCUGUAGCUAGCUCUCUUGUUUUGGUAUUUUAAAAUCCAAACGAAAAGAGAUCGAUCGACGACGACGACGACGACGACGACGACGCGACUGUGACGAUGGUGAUGGUGAAACAAACAAAAUAGCAGCAGCGAAUCAGUCAGUCCCAUUCACAAGCUACUCACAAGCAGUAACGUGACCGCUUGGAGGUUUAUGAACCAAAAAGCACACCACCUCUUCCAGCCGGAAUAUGAAUUUACAACUGCACGAAACAUCACAAUUACACUCCUUUAGUUAACCCAACAUCCGAACUGGCCCUGUUGCCAUAGGAAAGGCAAUUAAAUAUAAAUAUAUGUACAAUCGUUCGUUAGUUCUUUUACUGAAUAAACGUGUCCAAGUACUCAAAGCCUAUCCAAUCUACCAACAAUCCACUAUUGUCGCCCCGUGUCGGCUUUGCCGCAUUAGGCAGCGCCGCGACCGACGACAAACGACAGACAACGUCAAGCGCUGCAACUCUAUAGAGGAACUGAACAAUUCUCUCCACGAGUUGAAUUAAAACUAGCGCGGUGGUGAACGGCGAACAAUGCGGUGACAACCAAAAUUCCAGGAGCUGAAUUUAAAAUGACCUGCCACGCUGAUGCCCAGCUAGUCUCUUUUAUGCGCAUUAUAGAAUAAUCUAAAGGUUAUCAAACGAAUUUCAAUUUCAAUAAAUGCGUACCUAGCACCUACAUACCUAAGAAGAGAGAGAGAGAGUGACAUAGAGAAGGGAGGCGAAUAAAAUUUAUAAAAGACUAACAACAACAACAAUAUAAAUAUAAAACGAUUUUUGUUUUCAGAGACAAAGGACAUGUACGUUGCCUUAAAUGGGAAAUUAAUAAAAAGAAAAAAAUUACAAUUUCCCAUUAACAAGGAAAACAUCUUUUGUUUGUAAACAGAAGUAAAAAUAAAGCAAAAAUUACUACAACGACUACGAACAACAACAUUCACCACAAUGUCAUGAGAAAUAAAAUGCAUUCCACCGCACUUCCGUCUUGCAUUGCAUUAAGUUCAUUGCAGACGCAAUGUCGACUGCGGGGUGUCAUGUGGAAAAUACAUAAUAUUGUUGCGUCUCGACUGCACUCGACUCGAUUCCGCAUAGGCCUUUUUACAAAUAGAUGAAUAAAAAUUUAAUUUCAGUUUAUCGAAUGAAACUAUUUGUUGUGGCAUUACUUUUUUUAUGUUUUGCUUAAAUUAAUGACUAUGUAUUUUAUUUUAACUCUCAAUUUUUUCUUUACAAGAAAUCAAGGUCUUCGCUUGACGGUUUUGUUUUAUUUUUGAGGGUAAUAGGUAUUUGUAUUUAUACCUUUUUAAAUGCUAUAAAUUUAAGUUAUAAGGAAAGCAGAAAGUUGUCAUUGCAGUAAAUUUGAGAUGAAGAGAGUAGAAAUAAUAAUAUGUAAAUGUUUAUUCAUUUUAAAUAAUACUUAUAUUUUUUUCUUUCGAAUUCAGUGAGUUU